rnacentral:lncRNA from 1 species
AAAGAAUAUUGUAGAUUCCUCUUGCGAUAACAGACUGUGAAGACAUGCAAGUGUAGAAAGGUGAACACUCUGGCGAGUUUUCAGUACGAAGCGCCUACAAACUAUUACAAGAUGCUAGCUUGGAUCCUAGUAGUUAUUUAGUACAGGCCGAAACUAAAGAUUUCUACAGGAAGUUAUGGAAUUUACAACUACCAUCAAAAAUUUUAAUUCUUAUAUGGCAGAUUUCCUGGAACUAUAUCCCUACACUAGUUAAUCUUAGAUACAAGAGAGUGAUUACAAAUGCUAGUUGUCCUCGAUGCUGCUCCAAAGAAGAAAAUAGCUACCACGUGUUUCGGCAAUGUCCUACAAGCAUUGAUGUUUGGAAUAGUCUUAAUAUGACUUCGGUAACAGCACACACAGAUCAAAUACAUGGACAUGGCUCACUUGGGUUUUUAGAAGGGGUACAAAGGAGCAGAUCCUAAUGUUCUGUUACGCCUUAUGGGUUAUUUGGGGCUCGCGGAAUCAGAUGGUUCAUGAGAGGAAAAUCACAUCAGGAAAGGACCUUUCACACAAAAUACAGAGCUAUUUAUUAGAACUUGAAGGAGUGCGUGAAAAAAAGCUCACCUUUACGUCCGCUAGAA